AUACCAUGAUGAGGACAUCUCUAUACAAGCAAUUUAAAAUGUUCCCAAGCCUCGUAGAAGUUUUCUCCUUCCAUUUUUUUUGAAAUUGGCAAUAUCUCUUCUUAGUUG
rfam:Gossypium arboreum cultivar AKA8401 contig_105256_1, whole genome shotgun sequence.